CAUAGGGACUACAAGCAAGAAUAAUUCGUUCACUUAGCACCCUGCCUCAAGUUAAAGCCAUAUGGCAACACUGCGCGACGCUGAGCUGGUGAUGGUCUGCGUGCUCCUCGAGUGGCUGGGCAUCCUUUCCGACGCCGGACGGGCGACGACGGUGAAAGGAUCAGGGUCAGAAAGCGCCGGCAAUAGGACUGACGCCGCUGAACAAAUAUUUCCGGAGAUCCUGGAUGUGCCCCAGCUGGCUAAGAAUUAGGCUGCAUCGAUUCUUUCUUCAGUCUGGGUCAAUCGAGUCCUUAGAAGCGAAACGGGGAGGAUGAAUCACUCGCUGUGUAUAGGAUACCGGAAACGAAGCAAGAUCACUCGCAACAUAACAUCUCUACCCAAGAUAUCCG